GUCUUCGUUUUGUUCGUUCCUUUCCUCAUUUGCAUCCUUUAACCGACCGGUUACUUGGAUUCCCAGUUUCUAUUGUGCCCUCGUUAGGACACACAUUGCUACAACGAAGCCGGAACUCAGAUUUGCUCAUCGGAAAUCCACCAUCACUCAUAUCAUCGAUCCAAGAAAUGUAUAACAAUGUGGGAGCCCAGCCUGGGGCGCCAAGGCCUCCAACAAAUCCUCAGCCUAAUCCAUUUGG
rnacentral:misc_RNA from 1 species